UGGGUUCAAAUCAGAUCUGAUUUGAUUUGGAAUCAAAUUGAAAAUAAAGAAUCUCAGUCAAUUGGGACUCUCUCCCUUGCACAAGCCCUAGGUCCCAUGCCAUCUCCUUUAAUGUAAAAAUAUGUUUUGUGUGAAAUCUUUGGGUGUGAGAGAGGAGGGCACAGAGAGGGGUGGGUGGCACUCUUGAUGAGUCAUAGAUCCUAUCUCUUUUCUGAUUUGAAUUUGAUCCAAAUCGAAGAUAAGGAAAUAAGA
rnacentral:lncRNA from 1 species